CAGCUUUACGGAGACCUGGCAGAUCUCUCUCCUCCGAGGAUUACUUCUAAAAAUGAAUUUCUUUCUCCUCCCUCCUUCCGCGGAGCACCAUCUGAGGAAGAUAGAUGCCUGGGUUGCUGCCUCUGCAAAGACCACGUGAUUCACGGGAUGCUGCACCAGGACGAGCCAACUCAUUAGUUUCAAAGCCUCAAAUUAAUCUUACAUUACUGUUCCCGAAGGUGAAAGGUCAUUUUUUAUCUCCUUAGCUUUAUCCACCACCCGGGAAGAAAUUGGGUCUUCAUGCAGGCGCAGACCCCUCUGCUAUCGUCCCAGCCCUUGACGCUUCUCUCCUUUGUUGUGAAAUUGUACACAGGGCGCUGGGAUUGUUUUUAAAACCCAGAGGUGGUUGUUUUUAAAGUAGGAGAGUUUUGUAAAUCAUGGGGCAGAGAAAUGACUAAGAGGCUGGUACUAGGGGUGUUGAAAAAACCUAGAGACUGAAACAAACUUCGAUGCCAGGAUGAAACUGGUGGGCACUGAAAGAUAAAAGUCCCUUUUCGGUCCUCCAGCUUUGCGAUCUCCCUCUGGCGCCUCCUAGUGGCAGAACCUGACAUGGCGCCAGUUAGCUGGGAGAAGUGGCAGUUCCAGCCCCUGCGUCACAAAACGGUAGUGACUUUGAGACUGAGCCACAACAGCUUGACAACUGUCAUCGCCAAUCGUACCUAUAGCAAAGACAUGUGCUAAAUUCAAUCAGGCUGGUGUGUGGAGGCGCUGGUGGGGUGCUGGUGCUCCAUGUUUAUGGAACUUUCCAUGCCGGCUCCCGAUAACCUCCCCAAUAAUGGGAGGAGCCACCCCCACAGAGUGAGGCAUGGUUCCCAGUGACAGAGACGUGGCCCUUCCUCAUGGGAAAUAAGAUGAGUUUUUGAAUUGGGGUGCCGACGGGGAUGGCAGCAAGGAUGCUACCUGGUCCAUUUGAGGGGAGAACAAAAAGCAUGACUUUGAGCAUAUUCCAACUUGUUGUGAAAUCUGGGAAAGGAGAUUGAAAGACAUUCCAGUAUUUUGUAAAAAAUCCUCCACGUGCAAACAGA
rnacentral:lncRNA from 1 species